GAUGAAGAACGCAGCGAAAUGCGAUAAGUAAUGUGAAUUGCAGAAUUCAGUGAAUCAUCGAAUCUUUGAACGCACCUUGCACCCUUUGGCAUUCUGAAGGGUAUGCUCGUUUGAGUGUCAUUGUACUCUCACACUCCCGAUCUUUGCAUUGGGAGCAGUGGACUUGGGUUUGCUGCUUCACCGUCGCUUACCUCAAAUAGGUUAGUGCAACUCUUGGUUGGACAUAGUACGGCGUGAUAAGUGUUCUUCGCCGGUGCCUCGCAAAGAGGGCGGCCGAUCGGGAUGUUGUGCUCCAAACCGUCUUCGGACAAUCUCUGACGACUUGACCUCAAAUCGAGUAAGACUACCCGCUGAACUUAAGCAUAUCAAUAAGCGGAGGA
rnacentral:misc_RNA from 1 species